rnacentral:sRNA from 1 species
AAAAUAGACACGAUUGCAUUGCAUGUAGUAACGGAUGCUAUCAUAACAGCACUAAUGCACCGGAUCCCAUC